GGCGGCUGCGAUUGGAUCAAGCCAGACGCUUUCGGCAGGAAAAUAAAGGCUAAUUUCAAGUUGUUAAGUGAGGCUGGUGGGGGACAGACUGUCCUGCAAGUGUUCCUAAAUGAGGGUGGCUGGAGAACAGUGUGUGCUGAUAACUGGAGAACUAUGCACACAUGGAUAACCUGUCAACAACUGGGCUUUACACUAUAAGCAGCACAUAGAUGGCACAUACGAUUAAAAGCAAUGGCCAGUCAAAUUAAAAGCUUAUUAAAAAAACAUCAUUUUUAAUAUUAAUAUAACUAAGAGAAACAUCCUUCUUAGUACUGUAUGAACCAAAAAAUACAAUUGGUAAUGUCUUUGUGUUUAUGAAGAAUUCUACAUUACAGGAGUCCACGAAGUACAAGAGUCACAGUGAAGAGUCUACUAUGCCGACGAUACACAACUUAAUAUUUCUUCAAAGAGAUUUCACAAUUCUCGAAAUUAGCAGAGUGUAUCAAUGAAAUAAAAGAUUGGAUGGCCAGACAUUUCUUUCUACUCAAUUCUGACAAAACAGAGGUACUAAUUAUUGGACCAAAAAACUCUAAAAAUAAACCACUACAGUAUAAUUUGACUCUCGAUGGAUGUACUGUUACACCAUCUUCAACAGCGAAGAACUUAGGUGUUAUAUUUGAAACCAAUCUGUCCUUUGAAAAUCUAAUUACCAAUGUUUGUAGAACAGCAUUCUUCCACCUAAGAAAUAUCGCUAAAUUACAACACAUGCUCUCUGUUGCUGAUGCCAAAAAAUGAAUUAAUGUGUUCAUGACCUCAAGAGAAGAUUAUUGUAAUGCAUUACUGGGAGGAUGUCCAGCAAAAUCAAUAAAUAAACUUCAGUUGGUUCAAAAUGCAGCAGCCAGAGUGCUGACUAGAACCAAUAAAUAUGAUCAUAUUAGCCCCAUUUUAUCAUCGUUACAUUGGCCUACCUGUUAAAUUCUGUAUUCAUUUUAAAAUUCUGUUUACUACGUACAAAGCUUUGAAUGGUUUAGCUCCACAGUACUUAAGUGACCUUCUGACACGCUAUAUUCCAUCAUGUUCAUUACGAUCGAAAAAUUCUGGCCUGUUAAUAGUUCCUAGAAUAUCAAAAUCCACAAAAGGAGGUAGAUCAUUUUCAUAUUUGGCUCCUAAACUAUGGAAUAGUCUCCCUAACACUAUUUGGGACUCAGACACACACUCAGUUUAAUUCUAGACUAAAGACUCAUCUAUUUAGCCAGGCAUACACCUAAUUUAUCCUCCAACCCACAAUUAGGCUGCUUUAAUUUAGUCUGCCGGAACCAGAAACCAGAAAUAUUGAUCACGAUCUAUAUCUAUGCAAUAAAUUGAAUGGCAUCUAUGCUUAUAUUAUUUUAUUUGUUUCCCUGUCUCAACCUCGGGACUCCUAUCCUGAGGUCACCAGGACCGGCUGGAUCCAGCACCAAUCAUGCUUCGUGUUGGACUCCACAGCUAUGUGUCGCUGAAUGAUGAUGACUAAAUGCAGCCAGUGCCAGCCAAACAUCACUUCAGUCUAUUAUGAUGGACUUCAGAGGAUGAACUGAUGCCAACUCCAACUAUAAGACAUGGGAUACUUCAUAUGCCAUUGUCUGAACCUUGGAUUUAGGAUGGACCACACCAAACCUCACUGAAAUUACCGGCCAGGUUGAAUUGCGAUGCACCUCACUGAUCUCUGCCUGCAUCACCUCGGUCUAUUGAUGGACUGCGAUCUUGAAAUGGAAUACAUAGACUACCAAUUGCCAAUAAAAGCCUUCAUCAGCCAAUUAACAAGGACAAUUGCAUCUAUGUGAACUUCUGCAGUUAAUCCAGGAUGGACUUCAAAGAAAUUGGUCAUUAAUCUUACAGUUCAAACAAAAUCGAUGUUUAAACACUGACCCUUAACAGUUACUUAGUUUAAUAAUUUUAAACCAUGACUUGAACUAUACAUAAAUAAUAUUUACAUUGUUAGUAAGAGGGGAAUUGGCCCCGACAGUGAGUCUGGUUUCUCCCAAGGUUAUUUUUCCUCCAUUAAUCAACAUCUUGUGGAGUUUUGUGUUCCUUGCCACAGUCACUUUCGGCUUGCUCACUGGGGUUAUUAAUACAAUUACUAUUUAAUUACUUGUUUUUAACACUAUAAACAAUCGUAUUUUAUCUAAUUACACAAUGAUGAUUCAUCGACAUUAUAGACAUUACAAUUUUAUCUUCUGUUAAUGCCUGACCUUCUGUAAAGCUGCUUUGAAACAAUGUGUGUUGUGAAAGGUGCUAUACAAAUAAAAUUGACUGAAAUUGACUAACAUCAAGCCUUCAGAAUGCACAUGCUACAGCGAGCACUGAAUCUAAACACACUGACAUCCAGAGUUUCCUCACACCCAAGUGCUCUGCACUAUGAGAUAUGAAGUAUUUUAUUAGAAACUAUUAUUACAAGAUAUGAUUUACAAGUAUAAAUUAUGAUCUCUCUCUUUUUCUUGCCAGUGAUAAAUGUUUCUCUGGCUCAGUGGUGUCUUUGUCCUGCUCUGGUAAGAAUGUGUGUUGGUGUAUGUACUUUUUAUUUUAUUUUUAAUGCAGAUUUGGAGUAAAAAGGUAAAUGCAUUACAUAGUCAUACCUCAAGAAUUUGGCCGCCGCUGCUGUUUUUAAAACAUGUAUGUCGAUUACAAAAUGGAAAACAUUAUAGUCUUUAUUUAUUAACUUGUUAGCAACAUACUUAAAAAAACACACACACAGCAGCUUAAAAAUUCCGGUUUGUGAUCUGAUUCAUUUAUAUUUUAGACCAAUUUAUAUUCAAGUAAUUUACACCACAGACUAAAACUGCCAUUUAAAAACACAUUGGACAAUCCAGAGGGAACCAAUGGCUCACAAAUUCUGAUCUAAUUCUGUAUCUUAUCACAUGGCUUGUUGAGUGCGUUACUGUGGAGACAAAUACUGUGAUACUGCAUGUGGAGGCUUCACUCUAUACUCCGCGGAAUCCAUGCACAACUCGCCACAAGCCCCACCAAGAGCAAACUACAUUAUAGCGACCACGAGGCGGUUACCUCAUGUGACUCUUACCCUCCCUAGCAACCGGGCUAAUUUGGUUGCUCAGGAGACCUUGCUGGAGUCACUCAGCACGCUUUGGAUUCAACUCGCGACUCCAGGGUUGGUAGUCAGCGUCUUUACUCUCGGAGCUACCCAAGCCCCCCUAGUUUUCAAAACACUUCAUUUUCAGUGGAGGAAAAUGCUGCUCCGGUGUGUUUGAGAGGCGUAAGCAUUGCAAAGUCAAUGCAUUGGUUUUCAAACAAAAACUUGUGUGGACAGCCUAAAUGAUGAUAGACGAUAUCUACUAUAACUCACAGUAACACUGUUCAAAUAAAGACACAGAAGUGACAGGACAGGAAUUAUUUGAUAGAGGAAAAACAUUGUGUCUAAUUUGGUGACUUUGAACAGCAUUGUAUAAUGCAAUUACCAGAAGGUGAGUAAAUGUGGACCAAAUGUAACAUUUUUUUUUUUUUUUAUCUUUCACUGAAGACAAAGUAAACAUGCUUUGGGUGGAUGAAGAUCAAUUUGUUGCUGUGCUUUUACAGACUGUGGGGAGGUGUAGGGAGAGGACCGUAUUGUUGGUGGGGUGGACACAGAAAUACAACUUUGGCCAUGGCAGGCGUGCGGAGGAGUAUUGCUGUCCACAAGCUGGAUUGUUUCAUCAGCUCACUGUUUCACAAGACUCCCAGUCGAACACAAGCGCUGAGUCGAUGGACUGUGGUGUUAGGAGUGACCCAACUAGGGAUAUCCAAGGGUGUCACCGUUGAGUUGAUUGUUGUCCAUGAGGACUACAGCCGCUUGAGUAAUGACUUCGACAUCGCCUUGCUAAAACUCACGUGACCUGUCAAACUUGGGGGUAUUACAUCCAUCCAUUAAGAUCUUAACUCCAAUAUUAGAGAGCCGAAGUGAUAAGUUCUAAGGACUAUACUUUUUUGGAAAAUCUCACUCAAGCAUCUAUAACCAACAGGUAAACAUAUCUUAGACUUGGGCUAUUUUUUGUCCCUUCUGAAAAGACCAGCAUGUUGUGCUUUGGCUGCUGGUCAACCAGCAUUUUGAAAAAGCAGGGUUUGCUGCCAAUUAUGGUGUUAAGAUGCAUUCAGUAUUUUUCACUCUCAAAGAAAUUAAUUGUAAUUUUGAAACAUGUAUAAAGUCAUGAGCACUCACAUGAGACGAAGACUCUAUCAGUAACCUUAUAAAAGCGUUUUUUUUUUACUUUGAAAAGGUCUCCUUGUGGGGACUGUCAUGUUAGAAUUGUAUGACCAGUGGCCUUUGACCCUGUUUACACCUGGUAUUAAGAUGCGUCUCUGUUGAGCCUGUCACAUGUGAUCACAUUGUUGUUUACACCUGGUCACUUAUUGUAAAUGCAUCUCCUGAUUUGGAGGGGUUUUGGUUUCAUGAAGACAUAUGGAACGGGAGCCAGCUGAUAUGUGAUAGCUAUGCGGUAUGUGUAAACCUCACUCCCCUGACCUCAAGGUACACUAGCGACUGAUGCUAGAGGCUGUAGCCUUUAGCUGCCUUGUUAGCAGGCCCGCCUCCCAUGCCAGCUGAUGCCGGUUCCAGUCCCACUCAGAGUGUCAAGCAGGACCGGUUACACAGAUCAAUCUCUAUGUCAGCGUGCUACUGGAUGUCAUUAAAGCGCAACAAAGUCAGAAAAGACAGAGCCUGAAAAAGGCACGCUGUUUCUCACAGAUGCAGCUGAAAUUUUAUUCAAGCACAAUAGUGAAUUGCCUGUAUUAACCUGAGGUGCAGAUGUUCGUGCUUCUCAUAAGUCCCUGCAUGUUGAUUUUAAAGACACUGAAAAUAUGGGAAGUUCUCAUGUUUGUGAAAUAUCCUUUUUUUUUUUUUUUUUUAAUCAUCCGAUGGGUUUUUAAAGCUGCUUGUAACUGGCUAAGUUUAAACUCUUGGUUUAGCACAGCAGUUGAUUGACUGGUGAGAGAUGGUGCUUCAUUGCUGCUGGGAUGCAUACAGGACAGUUUAGCUUUUACACCUCAAAUAUGAUGCUGUUUCAUGCGUUUUUGACCACAUUUGUAUGUGGUUUAUGUGAUCCAAUCACAAAAUGUUUUAGACCCCUUUUAGACCUGUGACCACAUGUGAUCGGAUCACCUGAAAUGUAUCUUAAUAUCAGGUGUAAAUGGGAUCAUAUACUACUGGCUUAAUCUCUGUAAUCGCCCUGUUUUUGACAUGGCUGACUGUGAAUAGGGAAUUUCUACAAUGGCAUCUGAAACUGAAAACGAAUGAUUGAGUGAUGCUGCAUCCAAGCCCGUAGAUGUCCAAGUCCACAACCUUUAAAGAUACUUCAUUAAAUUCCUAUUUUUGAUGACAAAGGGAAACUCUUUUUAGCAAAAGAUGCCUCACUAAUAAAUGGUGAGACUCAUUAAUGAGCUUUUAUGUUCAUGCAAAACUGAUGGAAUCAGUAGUUUGUCUAUCAUGAGAAAAACAUAUUCGUUCAAUGGCAUUGUCAUAUCUCCCAUUUUCUACACUCAGAAUCAAUCUUACCAGUUUGUUUGCCUCCACACCAGCUGCCUGUGAAGGACAUGUUUGUAGUGACUGGAUAGGGCAUGCUACAGGAGAAGGGUAAGAGGGAGUGUUGCUUUUUGUUUUUUGCCCUGUCUCAUUUCCAUAUUCUCCCUUUUUAUUCCACAGGUGUGUUGCACUCAGUAUUGCAAAAGACUUCAGUGCCACUUAUUGACAGAUCAGAGUGUUCCAAGCCCUCAGUUUAUGGUUCAACAAUUACUCCUGGAAUGCUUUGUGCUGGAUUCCUUGAAGGAAAUGUAGAUGCGUGUCAGGGAGACAGUGGUGGUCCACUCGUGUACCUAUCAUCACGUUGGCAAUUAUUGGGCAUAGUGAGUUGGGGAGUGGGAUGUGCACAUGAGGGAAAACCAGGAGUUUACACCUAUGGCAGUCAACUUCUUGACUAGAUCUAUGUUGUAAUGGAGUAAGGAGUGUAUUGUCACCUACUACUGAUAAUACAGAGAAUGGUGUCGGCUUCUAAAUCUACACCACAGAAAUGUGUGUUCCAUGUACACACACAUGGAAACCUGGAUCAUUUCUGCUCUACCGUUCAAGGACAAACUGUGAAUUCAAUCUUAAUUCAGUCAAUCGUGCAGCCUUGAUGGAUAUCAUACCGAUGUCUCAAAUGUAAAAAUCUGCAGGUUCCAGAGUGUUUUGAAUGGUUUCCCCCUUAUCAUACAGUAAGUGCCACUUUUACCAUCAAUGCCACGUUUAUAACUUCGGUAUUUCCACAUUUAUGUGAAAAUGACAAUGAAUAACAAUUAAACAAUACAUGUCCUUUGGAGUGCCAAACCAUCUACGUACUUUGGAUAUCAUUAUUUCUGGAUUGUGCAUUUAAAUUCACAGUUUUGACCAAGUGUGUGGUCGCAAUGCUUUUUCUCUGUGUG